GCGGAAGGGUUAGUAAUACAUGGAUAACCUGCCUUUUACUUGGGAAUAACGAUUGGAAACGAUCGCUAAUACCGAAUGUGGUGGGUGUUAAUUAAAUUUUCCUUUAUCAAAGUAGGGGAUCGCUUGACCGUACCUCGCGGUUAAGGAGAGGUCCAUGGGAUAUCAGCUAGUUGGUGUGGUAACGGCGCACCAAGGCUAAGACGUCUAGGCGGAUUGAGAGAUUGA
rnacentral:rRNA from 1 species